rnacentral:rRNA from 1 species
AGUGAACGCUGGCGGUAGGCCUAACACAUGCAAGUCGAACGGCAGCACAGUAAGAGCUUGCUCUUACGGGUGGCGAGUGGCGGACGGGUGAGGAAUACAUCGGAAUCUACUUUUUCGUGGGGGAUAACGUAGGGAAACUUACGCUAAUACCGCAUACGACCUACUGGUGAAAGCAGGGGAUCCUCGGACCUUGCGCGAUUGAAUGAGCCGAUGUCGGAUUAGCUAGUUGGCGGGGUAAAGGCCCACCAAGGCGACGAUCCGUAGCUGGUCUGAGAGGAUGAUCAGCCACACUGGAACUGAGACACGAUCCAGACUCCUACGGGAGGCAGCAGUGGGGAAGAUUGGACAAUGGGCGCAAGCCUGAUCCAGCCAUACCGCGUGGGUGAAGAAGGCCUUCGGGUUGUAAAGCCCUUUUGUUGGGAAAGAAAAGCAGCAGGUUAAUACCCCGCUGUUCUGACGGUACCCAAAGAAUAAGCACCGGCUAACUUCGUG